AGUGAACGCUGGCGGUAGGCCUAACACAUGCAAGUCGAACGGCAGCACAGUAAGAGCUUGCUCUUACGGGUGGCGAGUGGCGGACGGGUGAGGAAUACAUCGGAAUCUACUUUUUCGUGGGGGAUAACGUAGGGAAACUUACGCUAAUACCGCAUACGACCUACGGGUGAAAGCAUGGGAUCUUCGGACCUUGCGCGAUUGAAUGAGCCGAUGUCGGAUUAGCUAGUUGGCGGGGUAAAGGCCCACCAAGGCGACGAUCCGUAGCUGGUCUGAGAGGAUGAUCAGCCACACUGGAACUGAGACACGGUCCAGACUCCUACGGGAGGCAGCAGUGGGGAAUAUUGGACAAUGGGCGCAAGCCUGAUCCAGCCAUACCGCGUGGGUGAAGAAGGCCUUCGGGUUGUAAAGCCCUUUUGUUGUGAAAGAAAAGCAGCAGGUUAAUACCCCGCUGUUCUGACGGUACCCAAAGAAUAAGCACCGGCUAACUUCGUG
rnacentral:rRNA from 1 species